AAGAAUUUAAGUUAACUAAACUAUUGACCUUCAAAGUCAAAAAUAGAUUAUAUCUAAGUCUUA
rnacentral:tRNA from 1 species